GAAGGUUUAUAUUUCUCCAGGGCAGUCAUUUCCAGUUCCAGCUCCAGGUCCAGAUCUAUUUCCAGUUCCAGUUCCAGUUCCAGGUGUAAACGUUGCAGUUAUUUUGAUUUUAUUAAUGGUUAUUAGGGUAUGUGUGACCUUGAAAUGCCCUUGAUUAUUUUUCAGAUUUUAUGCACUAAUUUGGAAUUUUUUUGAGCUGAAUAAUUUUUCUCACCGCAUCUCCCUGAAAUGAAAAGGAAUUCCCUCGGAGAAAUUCAUCGACUGAGGUGUCGUGUCCUGGAAACAGCUCCUAGGAGAUUAGCUUCCAGAUCCUCAACAUACUCUCCGAUAAUUCUUCGGAGAUAAUCCUCGUGGCCUUGACACUUCUUAUUAAUUCACUAGGUCCUCCCAUUCACAGGGUAAAAUCCAUUUUAUGGGAAAUUAUUCUCGAGUUCAUUCCCAGGAGUUCCUCUAAUUUUCUCAUUUUUUUUUAAAGUAAAAUAUCGUAUGGAUUAACAGCCUACACUCAUCCGGUUCCAUGCAUGUGGGUUGAUACCAAUAGCACAUGCCCUCCAGUCGUUGCAUUACGAAUCUCUUCAUCUUCUCUAGGCGUAUGACACAUGUGUACUUAGUCAUGUCCCAAUUUACGUUCUGAAAAUUCUUCUGGUGGCAUUUCGGUUGAGAAUGAAAAGAUACUCAAGUGAGUCAACAUCGCUUUCUUCCUGACGUGGCGAUUAAAAACAUCCUGUCCAUUUGAGUUUGGCUACAGCCUCCGUAAAAAUAGCCCAGAGUUUUUUAUUUCCAUGCUCCGAUUCCCCGACUGACACUCAACCCAUUUGAAUUGUAAAUUAAACUCAAGUAUUAAUUGGGACUUUCCAAUGAUUCUGGUUUUCAUUUAAACUUUUAUAACAAAAAAAAACCAUGUUUUUCUCAUCUCUAUUUACCAUUGAAUAACAAGACAGGAUGAAUUUUUUAAAUUUUACACUUGAACAGUAUGUAGGUGUCAUAUUAAUGUGUAACAAUUAUUCUUCCUCUCUAAUUUACAUAUAUAUUAUGGAUGCUUUCUAUUAAGUAAAUGACUAGGAUUAGGACUGAAUAUGGAGUGUAAAAUGUCUAUAAUAUUAUUUCUUAGUUCAUUUGUAUCGGUUAAAUGAUAUAAUCAACGUAAAAUUGCACUUGACACGUAAAUUGGCCUUCUAUAUUCGCUUUUACAAUUGCCGUUGAAAGAAAA